rnacentral:rRNA from 1 species
GACGUAGGGCGCAAGCGUUGUCCGGAUUUAUUGGGCGUAAAGAGCUCGUAGGCGGCUUGUUGCGUCGACCGUGAAAACCCGCAGCUCAACUGCGGGCUUGCGGACGAUACGGGCAGGCUGGAGUUCGGUAGGGGAGACUGGAAUUCCUGGUGUAGCGGUGAAAUGCGCAGAUAUCAGGAGGAACACCGGUGGCGAAGGCGGGUCUCUGGGCCGAUACUGACGCUGAGGAGCGAAAGCGUGGGGAGCGAACAGG